rnacentral:rRNA from 1 species
GGGUCUGCGUUUCAUUAGCUAGUUGGUGAGAUAACAGCCCACCAAGGCGACGAUGGGUAACCGGUCUGAGAGGGCGAACGGUCACACUGGAACUGAGACACGGUCCAGACUCCUACGGGAGGCAGCAGUGGGGAAUAUUGCGCAAUGGGGGAAACCCUGACGCAGCAAUACCGCGUGAGUGAAGAAGGUUUUCGGAUCGUAAAGCUCUGUUAUUGGGGAAGAAAAAAGACGGUACCCAAGAAGAAAGUCCCGGCUAACUACGUGCCAGCAGCCGCGGUAAUACGUAGGGGACAAGCGUUGUCCGGAUUUACUGGGCGUAAAGGGCACGCAGGCGGUUUUUUAAGUCAGAUGUGAAAGGUACCGGCUCAACCGGUGACAUGCAUUUGAAACUGAAAGACUUGAGUAUUGGAGAGGCAAGUGGAAUUCCUAGUGUAGCGGUGAAAUGCGUAGAUAUUAGGAGGAACACCGGUGGCGAAGGCGGCUUGCUGGACAAAUACUGACGCUGGGGUGCGAAAGCGUGGGGAGCAAACAGGAUUAGAUACCCUGGUAGUCCACGCCGUAAACGAUGAACACUAGAUGCCGGAG